rnacentral:rRNA from 1 species
UACUCUUUGAGCAAAAGACCGGAAUGGACGAAAUUCAGGUCCAUUCGUGAAAACUAGCGAGGGGCAAGUCUGGUGCCAGCAGCCGCGGUAAUUCCAGCCUCGCAUGUAAAUGUAAAAUUUGUUGCAUUUAAAAAGCUCGUAGUCGGACAGUUUCACGACAUUUUGUUCAAAGCCAGCUGCAACUCGGCUAGCCAGUUACGAAGGGUUUUGAACUGGUCAAUUAGUCGUUGCAACUGGAUGAAUAGUCGUGAACAAUCACAAGUUUCGCUUAUACACUUAAUUGUGUGUAGGACUGAAAAUUUGUGGACGUACCUUGAACAAAUCGGUUUGUUCAAAACAGGCCAUAUUGAGCGCCUGGACAUUCGGGCAUGGACUGAUCGAUCGAGACCUGAUCGUUUGGUCGGAAACGAGUAAGGUCCANGUCAAAAGGGACAUUUGGGGGCAUACGAACUCGGCAGCGAGAGGUGAAAUUCUAAGACCUGCCGAG